UACGGGGGGGGCAAGCGUUGUUCGGAAUUACUGGGCGUAAAGGGCUCGUAGGCGGCCAACUAAGUCAGACGUGAAAUCCCUCGGCUUAACCGGGGAACUGCGUCUGAUACUGGAUGGCUUGAGUUUGGGAGAGGGAUGCGGAAUUCCAGGUGUAGCGGUGAAAUGCGUAGAUAUCUGGAGGAACACCGGUGGCGAAGGCGGCAUCCUGGACCAACACUGACGCUGGAGGAGCGAAAGCCAGGGGAGACCAAAGCGGG
rnacentral:rRNA from 1 species